CCGAAGUGGUUCUACUGUAGGGGUUCUAACAGUUAUGCUGAUGUUUCUUAAGAAAGUACUAAUGAUCAAAAAACCGUGUUAUGUCUUUUUAAGACCAAUAUAGGUAUUUGAAGACACUUCAAAGGACAGGUUUGUAUCCUAAGAGAUAUAAAGAUUUCAGGGGAGGAAACAUGUGAAAUAAGUGAAAGAACUAGGCACGCUAACACUGUUCCUUGUAUUGUCAUCUGCAGAUAAUUCCGGCAAGAGAACUCACACAGCCAAUAAAAUGCAGGAAGGUAACAAAGGAGAGGAUCUCAAAAAAGACUGGCAUAUGCACUAUGUAGGUAUAUCAACCAUUCUAACAAUGUGGACUAUUUACUAUUUCAGUUUACUAUUUGUUGAACAAACAGACAUCCUAUAUGCUUGAAAAUGAAAUACAAAUAUUAGUGCUUCAGUGAAUCAAAUCAUUAAGGCUGCAAGAAAAAUUAUCUCGCCAUUUGGGAAUUAUAGGAACAUAAUACAAGCAUAAGCAGUGCAACUUUUAGCAGAAGUUUGGUUUGCAUACCAAAUGCUUGUCUCUUGUGAUAUGACGUCAUAGUAGAAGUGAGUUGUACAUUUGCAGGUGGAGGCAUACAAUCAGCGGACUCCAAAUCACCUUCUGAAUAAUUUAAAGAUAACUGCCCCGCUGUUUUUGGUGUUUCAACAUUUCUACCAUCAGAUGAAGAUUCGGAAACAGAAGCAUCGUUGCUAUUACAAGUAAC
rnacentral:lncRNA from 1 species